CUACACCCAAAAGCAAUAUACCUCUGCUUUGCUCUUCUCAGCAGCGGCUUGCAGAGAAGGAGAGGAUGCCAAAGGCUGAGCAGCAUCAGAAGAGGAGAUCUGUGCAAAACAGGAAAGAUAUGAAAAAGAAGAGAAUUUCAGCUUGAUAGGUGUCUCACAGGUGAACAGCACAUAACAGCUACUCAUCACGCAGAAGCAGGUUUCCUCUCCCAGUUCCAUUGCUUAUUCUGAACUGGAGCUCCUGUUUUUUGUUUCACCCCCAGCACGUGUGAAAGUACAGCUGUGAAAAGAAGGGACAAGCACAGCCUGAACUCUGAUAAACUUCUUACCUCCAUCUCCUAACCUGACCCUGAGCAGCACAGUUUGCCUACCUGGGGCUACCACUACUGCUACAUUCCAGAAGGUUUUUCUCAAGGCUAAAGCCUAAGAUUGUGGUUAAGAAUUAGGCCUGAUACCAGAAUCUUUCCGAGUACCAAACAACACAAAACCACAGAUAACCAACCAAAAACAUGCCACUGUUCCAGGGCAUCAGUCUCUCAGAUCUUUCUAGAAACAAGUCACAAACCUGCACUGAGUCUGAGCAGGAACACAAGAGAGUAACUAUUUACUGAUAACCCACUUUUAACAGUUGAGUAAACUGUGCUACUCAUUUAGUCCUGAGCACCGAUAUAGAACCAGCAUUUCACAUUUUCUCAACAAAAUGGAUCAGAAAUCUCCGAGAUCUAUGCUUCAAUAGACUUCAAUUAUUCUUUUAAGUCAGGCUGCUUUCAAUCAGCAUUAGAUUUUUCUAAUGUAUAUUUGAUUUCUACUUA